UCUGGAAGGAAAUCUUCCUAUGCUACUUCUUCAAGCAGCCAAUGCGUACUCUCUAAGCACCCCAGCUAUGAGCUUCAGCAUCCCCAGAGGCAGCAGCAGUCUUGCAGAGAAUUGGUGGCAGCCUCAAGGCCCUGCCCUGCCCCCAGCCUGGAGGACUCCUGGAGCUGCAAAAUAGCCCUACUGAGGGCCUGCAGGGCAACCUUCCUGAGACUGGAGCCUCCAUCCACUGUGGUGAUAUCCCAAAGGAUACGAGGCCUCACAGCGCUGCACGCUUAUGAGGAUACAACCUUAAUACCACCAAGCAGCAAGUCACUGGGAGGGCUGCAUGUCGGUGUGAAUGCUUGUGUGGUGUAUUGCAAAUACACAAGAUAUGGCAUAUCACCAGCAAAAAUGAGUUAACUUGGAAAUUCCACCUAGGUUGGGCUUUUCUUGGUUCUAUUAAAACAUUUACAUGUUUUUAAAUACAAUCACAAAAUAACACACUAGUAGUUUUACUGACAAAUAAAUACCUUGUAAAUACAAGGGUUUCUU
rnacentral:lncRNA from 1 species